AUACGUAGGGGGCAAGCGUUGUCCGGAAUUACUGGGCGUAAAGAGCUCGUAGGCGGCUCAGCAAGUCGGUCGUGAAAGCCCGAGGCUCAACCUCGGAACUGCGGUCGAUACUGCUGUGGCUCGAGUCCGGUAGAGGAGAGUGGAAUUCCCGGUGUAGCGGUGGAAUGCGCAGAUAUCGGGGGGAACACCAGUGGCGAAGGCGGCUCUCUGGGCCGGUACUGACGCUGAGGAGCGAAAGCGUGGGGAGCAAACAGGAUUAGAUACCCUAGUAGUCC
rnacentral:rRNA from 1 species